rnacentral:lncRNA from 1 species
AAGUAGAGGAUGCUGCCAGUGUCACAACUAAAAUCAGGAUGAGGCACUGUAAGAGAGCAUCCGAACAGCUGAUGUUAACAGGUAUUGCCUUUAACCCCUUGAGGUCAAGGAAAUUAAGGGGACAGUGUGACUGUGGACAGGUAAAUACAGUCACAUGCAAGUAAAAAUAUUUUAUUUCGUUCCCUCUGCACUUGCCUCACCUGGCAAAUGCUCAGUCUGCAUGGAGUUUCCUAGACUGCCCCAUCCCACCUCCUCACAGUCAGAGGCCCAGUGUCUGGCUUAUAUCUUUAUAGUAAGAUAAAGAGCCAGCUCAAGAACAGAUUUAAAAUAGGCUCCAGUGAUGCUCUUGUUUGGAUCCACUUUGUAGAGCUGUUCAUUGGCUUAGCCAUGUCUUGUUUUACUGGCAGGUCUGUUGGACAGUUGCUUUGCUGAAGAGAUCCAUUCACCACACUGCAGCCCAGCAGUCUGGUGGAAGGUGUGGGAAUCAGUGUACUCCAGGCAUAGAAAAUGUCAAAGAAAAAUAAGGCAUUUCUCUGCUCAUUGUGUUUUCCUGACAGUGUUGUAAGAUGGCCACAGGAGAGUGAUGUAUCAGCAGAGAAAAUACCCACAAGAUAAAGCAGUAUAGGGCAAGUAAGGACCAAAUCCUGUUCCUGUUGAAACAAUGUCUUCUCUGCGUAUAGAAUACCAUGAUAUUUCAAAACUACAAAAAUGAAAGCCUCUGGGAACUUGGAAGGUGAAAAUCCAUGUCCAGCAUUGCAUUGCCAGCAAGCACCUAGUGUUUUCAGCUCAGUAAGAAGUAUGGUCCCAUGUUCACAAUGUAUUUGGACUUGGUACAUGCUGUGGUGCUGUAUGGACCUGAUGUUGUGAAGGAAGCUCUGAUUGAGAAAGGGGAGGAGUCCAGAGAAAGAGGACUUACACCACUCUCCCAAAAUUCUCCAAAGGAACAGGUACUUUCCUGAGAGGUUCUCACUGGGGUAGAGGUGUCCUUGUGGGAGGAUUUAACUGAGAAGUCAGAAGUGGGAAGAGCUGAUGUUUCAUUUAAUACAGGAACAAAGCCUGGCUGAACCUAGAGAGACCUUUGGUUCACUGGAACAAACAGUCUUAGUCUCUUGCUAUCAUAGAUGAUAGCUGCUGUAUCCUAUAAGAUCUGGGUUAUGACCUGAAAGCAUAUGGCUCUGGUGGUGUCCUCACCCAGCUUUCCACCCUAGGGACUAAGCAUAUCUUAAGAUAGUCAGGUCUGUUUUUGACAGGGUUCUAUUGCCUUCCCUGUCUCCCUCGUUCACCCCGAAAGAGUUGAACUAGGAACAAGGGAAGUCCAGACAAGGUGCCCCAAGGAAAGAGACCUCUCUCCUAUGUGGUAGCAAGUUAAAGAAUUUUACUUAAAACUUUAAAGAUACAGCAUAAGGACUAGGAAGAGGACAACACAAAACAGAUAUGGCACAGGAAAUCCAUGCAAUAAAAUAGUAGGAACUGUUUGCA